rnacentral:rRNA from 1 species
CAGUAGCCACGGUAAUACGGAGGGGGCUAGCGUUGUUCGGAAUUACUGGGCGUAAAGCGCACGUAGGCGGCUUGGUAAGUUAGAGGUGAAAGCCCGGAGCUCAACUCCGGAAUUGCCUUUAAGACUGCCGAGCUAGUAGGUGAGAGAGGUAAGUGGAAUUCCGAGUGUAGAGGUGAAAUUCGUAGAUAUUCGGAAGAACACCAGUGGCGAAGGCGGCUUACUGGCUCAUUCUAGACGCUGAGGUGCGAAAGCGUGGGGAGCAAACAGGAUUAGAUACCCGAGUAGUCCCUGUCUCUUAUAC